rnacentral:lncRNA from 1 species
GGAUACAGAUCGGCGGCGAAACCUCCUUCUGCCUCCACCGCUUUAUCCUCGUCGAUCCUCGUCAUCCCGACGCUGCUAGACUUCGGCAACACUUUCGAGACGUGGAUUCGAUUCGCCGACGUCGUUCUCGCUAACGCGGCUCUCACGAGCUCCGUGUAAUCCUCGUCGCUAACCUCGGACCUCCUGGAGAACCUUCCAGCACCUUUCGCUGUAGUAGCCCACGUGCUGACCGCCACACGUUGUGGUCGAAGGGGGAGAGGAGAUUGGCGUGGCUCUGGUUCGUCAGAAUUGGGUUUUUGGUUUGCUUUCAAAGCCAAAUUGCCUCACUUCAUCAGCGGAAUAGCUGGAGGUGCGGCGCGGAGUUCUUGGCGGCAACUUAUUAGCCUUCUAAAAUGACGGAGGGUUCUG